GACGAACCGUGCGAACGUUGUUCGGAAUCACUGGGCUUAAAGGGCGCGUAGGCGGGCGGUCAAGUCUGUGGUGAAAUCCUUCGGCUCAACCGGAGAAUAGCUGGAGAUACUGGCCGUCUCGAGGGGGGUAGGGGCAUGUGGAACUUCCGGUGGAGCGGUGAAAUGCGUAGAUAUUCGCAAGAACACCGGUGGCGAAGGCGACCAACUGGACCAUUACUGACGCUGAGGCGCGAAAGCGUGGGGAGCAAACAGG
rnacentral:rRNA from 1 species